GAUGAACGCUGGCGGCGUGCCUAAUACAUGCAAGUCGAGCGAACAGACGAGGAGCUUGCUCCUCUGACGUUAGCGGCGGACGGGUGAGUAACACGUGGAUAACCUACCUAUAAGACUGGGAUAACUUCGGGAAACCGGAGCUAAUACCGGAUCAUAUAUUGAACCGCAUGGUUCAAUAGUGAAAGACGGUUUUGCUGUCACUUAUAGAUGGAUCCGCGCCGCAUUAGCUAGUUGGUAAGGUAACAGCUUACCAAGGCAACGAUGCGUAGCCGACCUGAGAGGGUGAUCGGCCACACUGGAACUGAGACACGGUCCAGACUCCUACGGGAAGCAGCAGUAGGGAAUCUUCCGCAAUGGGCGAAAGCUUGACGGAGCAACGCCGCGUGAGUGAUGAAGGUCUUCGGAUCGUAAAACUCUGUUAUUAGGGAAGAACAAAUGUGUAAGUAACUAUGCACGUCUUGACGGUACCUAAUCAGAAAGCCACGGCUAACUACGUG
rnacentral:rRNA from 1 species